GUGUAACCUUAGCUUUACUACACGAUCUGCAAGAGUAGGCAGCCAAAAUGGAGUCCAAAUGUUGAGCCCCUCGGAAAUCCCACAAAGGGACUGGUUCCCCUCUGACUUCACCUUCGGUGCCGCCACUUCAGCGUACCAAGUAUAAUUUUCUAGCGCGAAUGUUGUUUAUUACGUCUCUGUUAGAUAUAUACAUAUAUGAAAAGAAACUACUGUAGUUCACUGUUACAUAAUGGCAGCUGAUUUAUAUAUAUACCUAAACCAAAAAGGAGUUGAUAUAUGUGUGUGUGCGCACGCGCGCGAAACGUAUUGUAUUCUAGCUAAUUAAUUAAUUGUUUGAUACAUGCUAAAGUGAAAUGAUAUAUCUUGGUAGAUUGAAGGUGCUUGGAAUGAAGAUGGAAAGGGGGAAAGCAACUGGGAUCACUUCUGCCACAAUCAUCCGGGUAAGGUUCAUAUAUAUACCCCAGCUUUGAUUAAUUAGCUUGUUUUUGUUUGUUCAUAAUUAAUAACAUCAUACGUUAUAUCCUUGUUUAUUUCCUUAUUUUUUUAUGCCUCUUUCAUGUGCAUAUCAAUAGAAAGGAUACUGGACGGGAGCAAUUCAGACAUUGGAGCGAAUUCGUACCAUAUGUACAAAGUAAGUCCACUCCCGGCCCGUAGGAAUUCGGAGCGGAGACACCUUUAAUUUUGCAAUAUGAGUUUCGGGCAGUUUCAGAUCCCAUUUUUCUUUUACCCAAAUAUUCGGCCGCCUGGAUCCGAAACAGGCAGCAGCCCCGCCGCGGGAAAAAUUUCUUUGCCCAUGGAGCUCAUGAUCUGUAAUUUGGCCUGUUGUUGGACCGCCAUGGAGCUCUCCAACAUGAAGCUAAUCAUCAUUGACAACAUCCAAGAUGUAAAAAUGAUUAUAGAACAAUAUAACAUAUAAUAUUUCUUAUGGAAGUUUUAAAUAUUAUGUUAUUAGUCUAUUACAAACCUGAAAAAAAAACAAAGGAGUCCACAGUUUUCAAAUUAAUAUUAGGUCGGACAUGAACUAUUUCCUUGCGCAGGAAAUAUUUUCUGCUUAUUAUUCUAAGCUAAAAUUUUGGAUCUCGGUUGGAAAGGUUGUCCUUUUCUUGUGUGAAAUAGGAUGAAAUUUUGGGUAACCAGCUGACAUAAUGUUUGUUUGCAGUUAACUCUCUUAAACAUGUAAAAAUGGUUAUAGAAGAAUAUAUUUCGUAUCGUGGAGAUCCUUUUCGAGCAAAAUAACUGUUGAUGUAUACGCACUUCUAACUAAAAAUGUCUGCGAAUAUAUAUUAUUGCUACCAUUUUUGAUAUCAGCAUUUUUAAAUGUGCAGACGGACGUCAGAUUGCUCAAGGAAAUGGGCAUGGACGCAUAUAGGUUCUCUAUCUCUUGGCCCAGAAUACUGCCGAGUAAGUAUAUAUAUAGUAAAAUAAUCAAAUAUGUCUCAUAUGGUAAAAAAGUUAGAAACGGACGAACAGUAAAAAUGAUCUGUACAACUAAAAUGCAUUCAGAGUUUUCGGAUCGCGUUACAAUGCUAAUUUCAACAUAACGACUUUCAGAGGGAACCAAAGAAGGAGGUAUUAACCCGGAUGGCAUCAAGUACUACAGAAACCUCAUCAACUUGUUGCUGGAAAACGGUAAAACCCCAUUUCUCUAUCAGGCUCGUUUAGCAGCCUCAUUAGUAUUAUUUAUGGGAGAUUGUAAUCCAGUGUGCAAAAGUUUUCACGAAUCAUUCUUUAUUCAUGGCAAUCCAGGCAUAGAGCCAUAUGUAACAAUUUUCCACUGGGAUGUACCUCAAGCACUAGAAGAGAAGUACGGCGGCUUCCUAGAUAAGAGUCAUAAGAGCAUUGUGUAAGUAGUACACACCCAGCUUAAUUGAUAUUCUCCUAUCUAUCAUCGUUGUUCAGUCUAGUUGCUCUUAUUCCGUCGACAUACAAAAUAAAAAAAUACUGUUACUUACAUUUUGAUUUUGGACAAUGAAUUUGUGUGCCCAAUAUUAAAAAAACAUUAUCUAGGCAGACUACAAACAUUGUUGUAUUGUCAUUCAUGGAAGUGUUAUAUGCUAAUAUGCUAUCACAUUUUUUCAGAGAAGAUUACACCUACUUCGCUAAGGUGUGCUUUGAUAACUUCGGCGACAAGGUGAAGAAUUGGUUGACCUUUAAUGAGCCCCAGACAUUUACUUCCUUUUCCUACGGAACUGGGGUCUUUGCCCCAGGGCGGUGCUCACCUGGACUAGACUGUGCCUACCCAACUGGG
rnacentral:lncRNA from 1 species